CGGCGUGCUUAACACAUGCAAGUCGAACGAGACGAUUUAGAAGCUUGCUUUAUUGAGUCGAGUGGCAAACGGGUGAGUAACGCGUAGACAACCUGCCGCAAAGAUGGGGACAACAGUCCGAAAGGACUGCUAAUACCGAAUGUUGUAUCUCCUCCGCAUGGAAGAGAUAUUAAAGAUGGCCUCUACUUGUAAGCUAUCGCUUUGCGAUGGGUCUGCGUCUGAUUAGCUAGUUGGUGGGGCAACGGCCUACCAAGGCGACGAUCAGUAGCCGGUCUGAGAGGAUGAACGGCCACAUUGGAACUGAGACACGGUCCAGACUCCUACGGGAGGCAGCAGUGGGGAAUCUUCCGCAAUGGGCGAAAGCCUGACGGAGCAACGCCGCGUGAGUGAAGAAGGUCUUCGGAUCGUAAAGCUCUGUUGUCGGGGACGAAUGUUGAGACUUAGAACAUAAGUUUCAAAUGACGGUACCUGACGAGGAAGCCACGGCUAACUACGUG
rnacentral:rRNA from 1 species